CGACACUGUUGUUUCAGAAUCGCCACUUGAUUUACGCUCGUCACAGCGGAAAGGGGUCGUCAUGUCUCCAGACACAUGGUGUGGAAUUCAGCUUUAAUGAGUGGAAAGACAACACUUCAAAUGAACUUUUAUCUCUGAUGGACGGCAAGAGAGACAACAAGACGAGCAAGUGCAGAUGAAAAGGAUGAACGUGUUUGCAUGAUGAAAAGCGGUGCUGAGCUACACUGGGCCACAAGGAUUGAAGCAAAGCAUCACUCUGUUGAAAUCCAGCAUCCUCACAGUUCCUCAGCCUUCCCUAACCUUUUUCUCACAAAUGACUGAAACACACUUUCGCCAUCGGUCUGAGGUAGCAGGA
ensembl:lncRNA